AACGAACGUUAGCGGCGCGCCUAACACAUGCAAGUCGCACGAGAAAGGGCUUCGGCCCCGGUAAAGUGGCGCACGGGUGAGUAACACGUGGGUAACCUGCCCUUGAGCGGGGGAUAACAUUCCGAAAGGAGUGCUAAUACCGCAUGAGACCACGCUCUCGAAAGAGAGAGGGGUAAAAGCUGGCCUCUGUACACAAGCUAGCACUCGAGGAUGGGCCCGCGGGGCAUCAGGUAGUUGGUAGGGUAACGGCCUACCAAGCCUAAGACGCCUAGCUGGUCUGAGAGGAUGAUCAGCCACACUGGAACUGAGACACGGUCCAGACUCCUACGGGAGGCAGCAGUGGGGAAUCUUGCGCAAUGGGCGAAAGCCUGACGCAGCGACGCCGCGUGAGUGAUGAAGGCC
rnacentral:rRNA from 1 species